rnacentral:lncRNA from 1 species
AUGCUGACAGCGCCGAACGGACAGAAUUUUUUCUGCACUGCGGAUAGAGUAUUUCCUGUACGUUCAAGGCAGGAGAAACUCUAUCCGUUCGGCGCUAUCGGCGCCGCGACCGCGGCUAAAUAGGCGGGUGGUCGCGGACUGUGACAGGAAGUGGUAUCAAAACCUUAUUCUCCUGUGAUUUACUAUUCUAGAGUCUCCUAGGUCUGCCUAAAUUAUUUUUUCAUUUUCUACUUUAUGCUCUGAUACUAUUUCCUGUCACAGCCCGCGACCACAGUCUAAUGCAAAUAAUAAAAAAUUUAAUAAUUGAUAUUAAAAUUUUAAAUUUUAAAUUUAUUUAUUUUAUAUUUUUAAUUAAAUUUAUUUUAUUUAAAAAUAAACGAAAGGAAUAACAUGGAUGCCAAUCCACUAUUU